rnacentral:rRNA from 1 species
AUGAACGCUAGCGACAGGCUUAACACAUGCAAGUCGAGGGGCAGCACAGGUAGCAAUACCGGGUGGCGACCGGCGCACGGGUGAGUAACGCGUAUGCAACUUGCCUAUCAGAGGGGGAUAACCCGGCGAAAGUCGGACUAAUACCGCAUGAAGCAGGGGCCCCGCAUGGGGAUAUUUGCUAAAGAUUCAUCGCUGAUAGAUAGGCAUGCGUUCCAUUAGGCAGUUGGCGGGGUAACGGCCCACCAAACCGACGAUGGAUAGGGGUUCUGAGAGGAAGGUCCCCCACAUUGGUACUGAGACACGGACCAAACUCCUACGGGAGGCAGCAGUGAGGAAUAUUGGUCAAUGGCCGAGAGGCUGAACCAGCCAAGUCGCGUGAGGGAUGAAGGUUCUAUGGAUCGUAAACCUCUUUUAUAAGGGAAUAAAGUGCGGGACGUGUCCCGUUUUGUAUGUACCUUAUGAAUAAGGAUCGGCUAACUCCGUGCAGCAGCCGCGGUAAUACGGAGGAUCCGAGCGUUAUCCGGAUUUAUUGGGUUUAAAGGGUGCGUAGGCGGCCUUUUAAGUCAGCGGUGAAAGUCUGUGGCUCAACCAUAGAAUUGCCGUUGAAACUGGGGGGCUUGAGUAUGUUUGAGGCAGGCGGAAUGCGUGGUGUAGCGGUGAAAUGCAUAGAUAUCACGCAGAACCCCGAUUGCGAAGGCAGCCUGCCAAGCCAUGACUGACGCUGAUGCACGAAAGCGUGGGGAUCAAACAGGAUUAGAUACCCUGGUAGUCCACGCAGUAAACGAUGAUCACUAGCUGUUUGCGAUACACUGUAAGCGGCACAGCGAAAGCGUUAAGUGAUCCACCUGGGGAGUACGCCGGCAACGGUGAAACUCAAAGGAAUUGACGGGGGCCCGCACAAGCGGAGGAACAUGUGGUUUAAUUCGAUGAUACGCGAGGAACCUUACCCGGGUUUGAACGCAUUCGGACCGAGGUGGAAACACCUUUUCUAGCAAUAGCCGUUUGCGAGGUGCUGCAUGGUUGUCGUCAGCUCGUGCCGUGAGGUGUCGGCUUAAGUGCCAUAACGAGCGCAACCCUUGCCACUAGUUACUAACAGGUGAUGCUGAGGACUCUGGUGGGACUGCCAGCGUAAGCUGCGAGGAAGGCGGGGAUGACGUCAAAUCAGCACGGCCCUUACAUCCGGGGCGACACACGUGUUACAAUGGCGUGGACAAAGGGAGGCCACCUGGCGACAGGGAGCGAAUCCCCAAACCACGUCUCAGUUCGGAUCGGAGUCUGCAACCCGACUCCGUGAAGCUGGAUUCGCUAGUAAUCGCGCAUCAGCCAUGGCGCGGUGAAUACGUUCCCGGGCCUUGUACACACCGCCCGUCAAGCCAUGGGAGCCGGGGGUACCUGAAGUCCGUAACCGCGAGGAUCGGCCUAGGGUAAAACUGGUGACUGGGGCU